rnacentral:tRNA from 1 species
GGGCGGAUUCCCGAGUGGCCAAAGGGAGCAGACUGUAAAUCUGUUGGCACUGCCUUCAGUGGUUCGAAUCCACUUCCGCCCACUA